ACACACACCAGCUCCUGUUCAGUGUUUGAAUAUGAAGAAAGCUCAGCGCAUUUCCUGUGGACAGGACCACACGGCCAUUUUGACAAAGCAUGGGGCAGUGUUUACAUUUGGCUCCGGUCAACACGGACAGCUCGGUCACAACUCACUACGCAACGAACUGCGUCCUCGACUUGUUGCGGAGCUCUGGGGGGCAAAGGUCACCAAGAUUACAUGUGGAAGGAAUCACACUUUAGUG